rnacentral:tRNA from 1 species
GCAGAUAUGGUUCAUCGGUAGAACGCUAGCUUCCCAAGCUGGAAAGGCGGGUUCGAUUCCCGUUAUCUGCUUA